CUGUAGCCAAUUUACAUUGACUAGCUUUCUCACUGGGCCUGGUAUGCAAGGCUAUAGCUGCUGCUUCUUAGGUACUAUGUGCAGCCUGGUGCUUAUAUGUGUUGCCCUAUAGGAUGUUGGAGACAGUU
ensembl:snoRNA LOC120103254 small nucleolar RNA SNORA70